rnacentral:lncRNA from 1 species
AAUGAAUAAGUGACCUUAGAUGGGAGUUUAUGUGUCUACCAAAGGCACCUGAAGCUAAGGACGGGUACAGUCACCCAAGGAAAGUACGUAGGUCCUGGGGCUGAGGACAGAGUUCUGGGGUGGAGUGAGAACAGACAGAGGAGGCUUCAAAGGAACAAAGAAGCAACAGCCAGGGAGGCAGGAGGAAAGCCAGAAGAGUGUGGCAUCGCAAAGGUAGGAGAGAGUUUCAGGAAGGAAGAGUGGGUCAACAGUGCCAGAGGCUCCUAGCAUGAACAGGACCAGGAAGUUGGAGCUGUGUUUAGCAACUAGGAGGCCACUGUUAACUUUGGCAAGAGCAGGGUCCGUGGAGUGGAGGCUGGAGAAAGGAGGAUGGACCGAACACAGGCGAGGGAAGUGCGCCCGGAGACGGGGAGCUUGCCCUGAAGCACAGAGCACCACUGAGAAGGGACCCGGGCCCUGUCACGCCU